rnacentral:misc_RNA from 1 species
GUGGGAGCUGGCUUGCCAGCGAUGGCGCCGGCACAGUCGGCAUAGGUGUUGCUGACCCACCGCAAUCGCUGGCAAGCCAGCUCCCAC